GAAACAGUUUGAAGAAAAUUACUAGGGUCUCCUCUUUGGUUUUCCCAAGCCAAUAAAAAGGAAGAAAAGCCUCUUGUGAUAGCUAAGGAAGUGAAAAGAACAGAAGAGGAAAAGAGGAUAACUCAAGAGAAGAAAGCUAUUCCUGAAACUAAAAAGAAAG